UACGUAGGUGGCAAGCGUUGUCCGGAAUUAUUGGGCGUAAAGCGCGCGCAGGCGGCCUCUUAAGUCUGAUGUGAAAGCCCCCGGCUCAACCGGGGAGGGCCAUUGGAAACUGGGAGGCUUGAGUAUAGGAGAGAAGAGUGGAAUUCCACGUGUAGCGGUGAAAUGCGUAGAGAUGUGGAGGAACACCAGUGGCGAAGGCGACUCUUUGGCCUAUAACUGACGCUGAGGCGAC
rnacentral:rRNA from 1 species